UACGGAGGGGGCUAGCGUUGUUCGGAAUUACUGGGCGUAAAGCGCACGUAGGCGGCUUUGCAAGUUAGAGGUGAAAGCCCGGGGCUCAACUCCGGAAUUGCCUUUAAAACUGCAUCGCUAGAAUUGUGGAGAGGUAAGUGGAAUUCCGAGUGUAGAGGUGAAAUUCGUAGAUAUUGGGAGGAACACCAGUGGCGAAGGCGGCUCACUGGACCGGAACUGACGCUGAGGCGCGAAGGCGUGGGGAGCGAACGGGG
rnacentral:rRNA from 1 species